UUUCCUGAUGACAAAGGGCCAUGAGGCCUGAAUAAUCCCAGCUCGUCGAACUGCCUCACAUAAACGCAGAGUGCAGCAUGAGAUAAGAAACCCGUUCUGAUAA
rfam:Glarea lozoyensis 74030 unplaced genomic scaffold M7I_scaffold10, whole genome shotgun sequence.